UACGGAGGGUGCAAGCGUUGUCCGGAUUUAUUGGGUUUAAAGGGUGCGUAGGCGGCCGCUUAAGUCAGGGGUGAAAGACUACAGCUUAACUGUAGCAGUGCCUUUGAUACUGAGUGGCUUGAGUACAGAUGAGGCCGGCGGAAUGGGUGGUGUAGCGGUGAAAUGCAUAGAUACCAUCCAGAACACCGAUUGCGAAGGCAGCCGGCUAAACUGUAACUGACGCUGAGGCACGAAAGCGUGGGGAUCGAAC
rnacentral:rRNA from 1 species